rnacentral:rRNA from 1 species
UGGGGAAUUUUGGACAAUGGGGGAAACCCUGAUCCAGCCAUCCCGCGUGUGCGAUGAAGGCCUUCGGGUUGUAAAGCACUUUUGGCAGGAAAGAAACGUCGCGGGUUAAUACCCCGCGAAACUGACGGUACCUGCAGAAUAAGCACCGGCUAACUACGUGCCAGCAGCCGCGGUAAUACGUAGGGUGCAAGCGUUAAUCGGAAUUACUGGGCGCAAAGCGUGCGCAGGCGGUUCGGAAAGAAAGAUGUGAAAUCCCAGAGCUUAACUUUGGAACUGCAUUUUUAACUACCGGGCUAGAGUGUGUCAGAGGGAGGUGGAAUUCCGCGUGUAGCAGUGAAAUGCGUAGAUAUGCGGAGGAACACCGAUGGCGAAGGCAGCCUCCUGGGAUAACACUGACGCUCAUGCACGAAAGCGUGGGGAGCAAACAGGAUUAGAUACCCUGGUAGUCCACGCCCUAAGCGAUGUCAACUAGCUGUUGGGGCCUUCGGGCCUUGGUAGGCGCAGCUAACGCGUGAAGUUGACCGCCUGGGGAGUACGGUC